AGUGAACGCUGGCGGUAGGCCUAACACAUGCAAGUCGAACGGCAGCACAGUAAGAGCUUGCUCUUACGGGUGGCGAGUGGCGGACGGGUGAGGAAUACAUCGGAAUCUACUUUUUCGUGGGGGAUAACGUAGGGAAACUUACGCUAAUACCGCAUACGACCUACGGGUGAAAGCAGGGGAUCUUCGGACCUUGCGCGAUUGAAUGAGCCGAUGUCGGAUUAGCUAGUUGGCGGGGUAAAGGCCCACCAAGGCGACGAUCCGUAGCUGGUCUGAGAGGAUGAUCAGCCGAACUGGAACUGAGACACGGUCCAGACUCCUACGGGAGGCAGCAGUGGGGAAUAUUGGACAAUGGGCGCAAGCCUGAUCCAGCCAUACCGCGUGGGUGAAGAAGGCCUUCGGGUUGUAAAGCCCUUUUGUUGGGAAAGAAAAGCAGCAGGUUAAUACCCCGCUGUUCUGACGGUACCCAAAGAAUAAGCACCGGCUAACUUCGUG
rnacentral:rRNA from 1 species